CCUACGGUGAGCAGCAGUGGGGAAUAUUGGACAAUGGGCGAAAGCCUGAUCCAGCCAUGCCGCGUGUGUGAAGAAGGCCUUCGGGUUGUAAAGCACUUUCAGUGGGGAAGAAAGCCUUGGGGCUAAUACCCUCGAGGAAGGACAUCACCCACAGAAGAAGCACCGGCUAACUCCGUGCCAGCAGCCGCGGUAAUACGGAGGGUGCGAGCGUUAAUCGGAAUUACUGGGCGUAAAGCGCGCGUAGGCGGUCUGAUAAGCCGGUUGUGAAAGCCCCGGGCUCAACCUGGGAACGGCAUCCGGAACUGUCAGGCUAGAGUGCAGGAGAGGAAGGUAGAAUUCCCGGGGUAGCGGUGAAAUGCGUAGAGAUCGGGAGGAAUACCAGUGGCGAAGGCGGCCUUCUGGACUGACACUGACGCUGAGGUGCGAAAGCGUGGGUAGCAAACAGGAUUAGAUACCCGAGUAGUC
rnacentral:rRNA from 1 species